UCUCUGUACCCACAUCGUCUUCCUUCCCUUGCCAUACUCUGUACCAGGCCGUCCAGCUGCGCGCUAGGGUUCGGGAAGUCUGCUCCGUUGCCUCUCUCGCCCCCUCUCCUGGACUUUCUCCGACUUCUAUCUUGGACCUAGUUCCGGCGCCGUUGAAGCACGAGCUCCCCUCCUCUCCUCUGAGUCGCGCCCGACGAAGACGCCAUUGCCGCCGGCGAGCACGUAAAUGUAGAGGAGUUGUGCUGUAGCUCCUGGGGGCGAAGAGGAACUGCCCAAAGGAGUCAGCUAUCUUCUGCGCCUCGAGGAUUUUAGGCUGUGCAGUUGAAUAGUACCUAGCCAUCGUCCUUUAUAGCUCAGGAUCCAAGUCAGCCAUGGAGUCCAUGACAAGUGGUGCUCUAAGUAUUGGGUCAACUACGGCAAUGGGAGUUGAAGAUGAUGCCAACAGCUUUGCCAUGGGCACGAUCCAGCAGGUCGAAAACAAUGAAAAUAGCUACCACACGCCAACACGAACUAGCAGUCUUCCGUUUUGUGGGUCAAGAUAUGAGCCGGAGUGUGAUCCUAACUUACAGCCCGUAAUUGGUAUGCAAUUUGACACUUGGGAGGAAGGUAUGACAUUCUACAAAAUGUAUGCUCAUGAAGUCGGGUUCUCGGUUCGCACAUGGACGACACACAAAGAUGAACAUGGCGUACUGUGGAAGAGGUUUGUUUGUGCUAGAGAGGGUUGGAGAAAGGAGGCCCCAGAAGAGGAAAGGAUAAAACCUAAACGAAAAUUCAAGUUAACCAGGUGUGGUUGUGAGGCUAUGAUUGGACUGAGGAGGCAGGAUGAUGGCAAAUAUAAGGUUGCCCGGUUUGUUCAAUCACACACUCACCAACUUAUUUCGCCAAGUAAGAGACAUCUCAUCAAGUCAAAUAGGGAAGUAAGUAGUGAGUUGAGGAGCAAACUACUUACAUGUCAUAAAGCAAUGGUUGGCACAUCUGCAGCAUAUCGCUUGCUUAGUGUAGAGAAGGGGGGUCCGGAAAAUGUGGGAUGCACAAAGCGUGACUUCCAAAACUCUCACCGUGAUUUUAAAAGAGCAAUUAAGGGAGCAGAUGGACAGAUCAUAGUAGAUAUAAUGAAAAAGUAAAAAGGACCGGAGGGAGUACUACAUCAAGAUCUGAGAGUGAGAAUGCAUUCUUCAGACACUUCGCCAACCGAAAUCUUGCAUUGAUUGAGUUUUGGGUCAGGUUUGAAACAGCUUUAGAGGAACAGCGGCAAGAAGAAUUGCAAGAAGACAAUGCCAGCCUUCAUACACUACCUAUGCUCGAGACUUGUUGGAGUAUCGAGAGUCAUGGUAGAGAUGUUUAUACUCAUGAGGUUUUUGCUGAAUUUCAACGUCAGGUGGUGGCUGCAAGGGAUUAUUGUCAUGUUAAAUCAAUUGUCCAGGUUGGUGAGGUCCGGACCAUUGGUAUUAGCAGCAAGAGUGGUAAAGUUAGAGUGGUUAGUUUCAACACUAGUACUAAGGCAGCACACUGUUCUUGUAGUAUGUUCGAAUCACUGGGUAUCAUCUGCCGCACAUCAUUGUUGUCCUAAAGAAUGAGGGGUGUAAUGAAAUUCCUAGUCAAUAUGUGUUGCAUAGGUGGACUAAAAUGGCAGCACGUCAGCUUUCCUAUGACGCCAACGGACAUGAGCUAGAAGGCCCAUCUACAUGUCUUUCACCUACCAUAAAAAAGUUGUACUCGGAAACAUGUUCAAAAUUUAGCUUGGCACUUCAUGCGGCGAAACAUUGUGAGGAGAAAAUGAGAUAUUUUCACAAGGUUGUUGGUGAUGCCUUCACGCAAUUGGAACAGAUGGGUGCCAUUAGUGAGCAAAGUAAAGUUCAAGAAUUUGAAUCCUUCGUCGGAACAUCAUUCCCAAGUGUGAUCAGUAUUCAUCCACCAGAUGUAGCAAACACAAAAGGGAGUGGUAAGAGAUUGAAAAGGGGUUCAGAGCAAACAGUGAACCAAAAGAAGAAGAGGGCAAAUAGCAUCCAAAAGGUUCCUGAUAAGUAGGGGCGGUGGUUUCACUAAUUUGAUGUUGGAAUAAUUAUGUGAAGUCAUUCAGCUGGCUACAUUCUUGCUGGAAAUGGCAGUGAUAUUCAUAGGCGAUGAGGUUUUCGACUUUUGGUGCUUCCAGGAGCUCACAUUUGCAAAUGUGUCACUGAAGAAUGCAUAUGUUCUAUGUCUGUAACUCUGGAUGUGGUCACUGUUAGCUUCAGGAAGUCGCUAACAGUAAACCAUGUUGUCCCAUUAGCCAUGUUUAACCAGGAAGAAAAGAUUGUAUGACCGGGCAACGAAUUGCUAAGCCUAGCUUAAUGUAGGUUUUAAGAUUUGGUUUGUCUUUCUGUGUUAUUGUCGCAGCUGUAGCCAGCUUGCUAUAUGUCGUGCUCAUGUGAACACUUUCCGAAUUAGGGCAACCUUAUUACUAUGUGUAUUGAGCACCGUUCAUUUAUUUUCCUCUGUUUUUUGUUGCUC